UUCCACUAGGGUUUCCCUCUUUCCAUUUAUUGCUUCAGAAGCGCUUCAUUAUUUUCCUUCUGUUCCCUUCUGUUUUGAAAUAAUGCCCCUUCUGUGUCACUUUUCUUGAAGAAUUUGUCCUCUUUCCAAUUGGCUGAAGCUAAAAACUGAAAAUAAUGGAAGGGCUAAAGUUAUAUUUUCAGUUUCUGGUAUUAAGGGUGUGAAUAAGUAAGAAAGAAAAUACAAUCUAGAUUUGUUUUUAAUGAGAUGGGUGCAGUUUUUACUUCUUCCCUAGUAGAAUAUCAGAGGGAGACAGAACUGAGAGCCACGAAAUGAGGCCUCAAGCCCGGAAUAACAAUAAUUGUGUUAUGUUGUCUACUCCGGACUCACUGCCUCCCAUUCCAGGAUCCAUACUGCUAUUUUCAUAACACUCUAAAUGAUUUCACAUCUGUAAGUAAUUAGUUGCAAAAUAAUCUGUCUUGGGACUGUGGGUGAGAGAAGGGUUGGGCAAUAGAAGUUCCAACUGUGGUCUAACAAUGUGUAAAUCAUGUAUUCCUUCAUUCUGCUUUGUCUGCUUAUCAACUGUAAAUACAUUACACUGGUAAAGGCUAGUCCUGCAAAACAUAGCCCUUUGAGAAGCUCAGUAUUGAUGUGAUCCGCCAUAAUGGCACCACCAGCUUCACAGUUUACAAAGCCCCGCCCCUGAUAUUAUCAGAAUUCUUUUUCACAGCAACCCUGAGAGAUAGGCGAGGGUAAGGUUUCCAUCUAAUGUGUGAGGAACCUGUGGCGAAGUCAGUAGAUGACAUGAUAUGUUUUGUUGUUUUCUUGCAAACAUUUUAACAGUUCAUUAACUAUAGUAAUGCGCAUACGGAGGAGUGCAGGAAAUUAUAACGACAGAGAUUGAUGAAUUGUCACAAAGAGAACACUCUCAUGGAAUCAGUACCCAGGUCAAGAAACAGAACAAUGUAACACUUUCGUGCCCCCUUCCAGUCACCACCCCCAGGGGUGACCACCAUGCUGACUUCUAAAUAGGUGACAGGAUUAUUCAAGUUAAUUUUGUAUGGCAUGUGGACCAGGACCUUGCAACACAUGGAUGUGUUAUAGAGGGUCUGCUUGAUGCAUUUAGGAAUACAUCUUUACAUGAAAAGCAAGGCACAUGAGGAAUCAAUAAGGGAUGAAAAUUGCCCAACGUGAAGAAAGCUCAUCUGAGGAGACUAAAUAACAGGCUCCAGUGGAUGAAGGCUGAAUGUGUGUGUGGAAUAUUAUAGGAAAUGUUAUCUAUUGCUAUCAAGAACUGAUGAAAAGUUUACAUAGAAAAAGGAAAAUAUGUUUCUUUCAUGUUUAGAAAUUUGUGGACGAGGAGAAAUCCAUUUCUUUCUGUGGACAUUUUAAAAUUUAGGCUGUAAGUGCUCAUUGAAAGAUAACUUUGGUUUAAUCUUAACCAGAGGCAAGGAUUUGUGAUUUUUCAAGAGUGUUUCCUUUCCCACCCUGUGCCUGGCUGAGCAUUUCUGUCCAUUUCCAUGGGAAGACUGCAUUGUGUUCCUUUAAGGGAAAUGAUGUUUCGCUGGAAAAGGGAGGCUGUGUCUAUUUUACUUCUUUCCCUAGGACAUGAGUGAGUCGCCAGACAUGAAGGCUUUGCCUGUGAAUGUGCUGCCUCUCUCUGGGAUGGGCAGAGCUGAAGACCAACAGUAAUUGCUCCAGCUGGUAUCUGCAUCUGGUGGAUUUUGGAAGCUUACUCUCCCAUGUCCUCAGCACUAUUCUGCUAUUCCUGGGUAUGGCAUCUCCAUACCAAUCUGAAAACAUAAGAGAGCUCGAAGAAAAGCAUAGACUCAGAUGCAAUAAUCACUUGGGUUCUCUGAGUGAACAGCCUUGGGUAGCCACCAUCCAGAGCAGUGGAGACAUCACCAGUCCCAGAAGUCCCUGAUGUCCCUUCCAGUCACGACUCUGUCCCCUCGCCUAGGACAUACAUGUAGAUCAACAUGGAAGGAGUAGCCCUUGACCAUCAGUGUAUGACUCCAUUGCAUAGUGCUUGCUGCAGAAUUGCCUUGCCUGUCAGAUGACACAGCCAGUGCUGAGAUAGUGGCUGGCUGUGUGGAGUGGGCACAGCGCUUGCUCUCAUGAGCCGGUCCCUGGAUCUACAUCAAGAUGGUGCCUGGAUCUGUGGAUGGACUCUGGUCCUACCUUGGCCCCUGCUGCACUGAAGCUCCUGGCAUUUCCAGGGAGCCUUGCCCCUGUGUGUUAUUGGCCUGUUUUUCUGAUGUCUGCAGCCUGACAAACAUGUCACCUGGUCUUUCUCAGCUGGGUGGCUCCUCUUUGUUGAUUCAAUGCCUCCUGGUCUUGCACCCACUCCCCGACUCAGAUACUCUGCUUGGGCUCUUCCAGGAGAUCAGUGUGCUCUGCCAGGUCCCAGGGCAGACCUGCUGGCUCUCAGCUUGGCACUGAGGAAUGCUCUGGAGUAAACACUAGCCCUCCCCACCUGCUACAUGCUCAGCCCUCUCCCCUCUGCCGUGUUGCCUCAUGUCUCAGUCAUUUCUGAUUCCUCGUUACCUAGCAGAAUGUCUGGCACUUUUGCUCAGUAAGAUGCUUUUGAAAUUGAACUGGAUUGUGAAUUCCUUUCAGUGAGUGGUCCAUGCUUUAUUUGGCAAAUAGAUGCCAAUGACUACUAUUUUCUCGAAAUUUUAUAAAGUUAAUUAUUGAUACACCCAAAGCAGAGGGAUCUUCUGAUCCCCAAAGCCUGGCUUUCAGUGUUGUUUUAACCCUUCUAAAAUCUCAAGUUUCUCUAAUAAAAACCACGAUAGUCUGAAAUGCUGGAAUUUGGAAUUUAUGCCUUCCUAGAGUGCUGAUACCGAAAUUUUAAGGAAUGUAGGGAAAAAAAGGAAAUAAAAAGUCCCCCAG
rnacentral:lncRNA from 1 species